rnacentral:rRNA from 1 species
CCUACGGGUGGCAGCAGUGAGGAAUAUUGGUCAAUGGACGAGAGUCUGAACCAGCCAAGUAGCGUGAAGGAUGACUGCCCUAUGGGUUGUAAACUUCUUGUAUAAAGGAAUAAAACGAGGCACGUGUGCCUUUUUGCAUGUACUUUAUGAGUAAGGAACUGCUAACUCCGUGCCCGCAGCCGCGGUAAUACGGAGGAUCCGAGCGUUAUCCGGAUUUAUUGGGUGUAAAGGGAGCGUAGACGGGUUGUUAAGUCAGUUGUGAAAGUUUGCGGCGCAACCGGAAAAUUGCAAUUGAUACUGGCAGUCUUGAGUACAGUUGAGGUAGGCGGAAUUCGUGGUGUAGCGGUGAAAUGCUUAGAU